CUGUGGCAGGGAGUGGGAGGGUGAUUAACAGGGGAAGAAUUAGGAAAGAGGACACGCAAGACCACAGUAAGAGAUGGAAAUAAGAGAAUAUUCCUGAUUUCCACUGGAUGACUUUGACUGGUAUGAUUUCAUUCUCUGAAAGUGUUAACCAGGGUGCAGCAUGGCCAGAAACCAUUCCGAGCCUCAUGAAGUGGGCAAGUCAGGUUUGGUCAUUUUUGGUGAGAAGCCAUCCUCUCUUGAAUGGGGGCUCCCACUGUACAUCUGGCACCCACUUCACAGAUUCUGGGGGAUGUCAACACCAGCACUGCUGAGCUGUGUGACCUUGAGCAAGACAGUUAGCCUCUCUGAACCUCAGUGUCCUUCUCUGUAGGCUGGAGAUUGAUAUACCUUCAUUAUCGGGGUAUGAGAGUGUUAUAAGGUGGGAUGGUGGAACACGCUGACUGGUCUGGGCUAUUCAAGAUCCAUGAACUGGAAGAUGCUUUCUUAUAACUCAGAGAAAAGAGAUGAAAAUGAAUCAAAGAACAGGAAGGAGACAAGCUCAGGAGAGUCACCCUAAGAAGGAUGUGUGGAAGACUUGACUGGAGGAUCAAAAUGUGUCGGGGGAAGGUGUACAAGGAGGAGUAAGGACACAGAUGUCCUGACUUCACACAGUGGGGGAUUAGAAGCCACCAUCAAACACAGAUGAAACAGGAAUAAAAGUAGUAGUACAUUACUUAAGCUUUAAAAGGGUAAGACUCCUGGGAAUUUGGAAGCUGAGACUUGAGGCAAGUAUUUAGGAUUUGCUGUCUCACCUCCCUGCUAUGACAGUCCUUAAUUAAUGGAGAUGAUGGAGAACAGCUUGCUGGGCUGAGUGGCAGGAGCCAUGCAGCUGCUGGGGCUGGAGUGGGUCAGGAAGCUUCAUCAAUCUGGGACACAUGACGUGCUUGGUGGUGGCGGAGCCUGACGCAUCCCUCUUCAUCGACAUUGUGUCAAUAGGAGCAGAGGCAUUUAGCUGUGUAAACACAGAGCUUCAGUGGCAGCACCCUAAAUGCUUAGCUGAUAGAUCCGGAAUUAAAUACAGACCUAGAAACUGGAGUUGGAAAACUUCCUGGCAGCACUCCUUCCCUGCCAUCCCGGUGAUCCCCUUCUGGAUGGAGGGUGUGGAGCUCAGCACAUUCACGUCUGCAGUUCUCAGAGAACCAAGUGUUAAGGAAUGUCAGGGAAGGAAGAAGGCAGCCAGCCAGGAAGGGGAGGUCCUGGCCUGAGCACGCCAGGCACAGAGGGAUAGAGGGUAGGGAGGAAACUGCACCUGUCUCCAACCCUCGACCCCAGCCCCGAAACACGACAUUGGCUGAAACAGAUUAAAAGCAUAAAAUGGCCCAAAGAAAUGGGAGAAGGUUGGCCUCUGGUCGGGCAAACAUGAGGGCAUGAAGAUAUAUAAUGUCCCACACGGGAGGAAACCCUUGCCGGGCCCCUCAGGAUUUAUAACAAGCUCACCUGAAGGAGAAACUUCAGGGGCACUUACACCAUCAGAUACCUAGAAAGGAGCUGUCAUUUCCUCACUGAAGAGUUUGCAAGCAGAUGGUAAAAGGGGUUUAAUUUGAAAACACUGAAACAUCGUGUUCGCUCAAAACCAUGACAAUUGCAGUUUUAUUGUCUCCACUCAGGAAAAUGUGUGUCUGGAUCAUCUUGUGGCCCGAAUGGGGAGAAAAGCAGCACAAGAAUGGAAUAGUACAGUGGCUACGAACACAGAAACCACACUCCAGGCCCAGUCCCCGGCAGUGGCCUCCAGGACCCACUCUGAGCUAGAUCACAUCAGUGAUGGGCUGGCCAAUCUUUAAGGAGAAUGACUCUACUCUUAGGAAGCCAGCAGGUUGGAGGAGGAAACACAUUCAAAUCCCGAGCACAAGGAGCUGGGAGAAGACCGGUUAUGGGAGCGGCAUUCCUGGAAGCUCUGAAGUCACAGCCCCACUGAUGAAAGGAUGUAAGAACCUAAGAGUGGAAACCUGCCCCUGGGAUUCAUAUGGUGUCCCCUCAGGACUCAAACCCUGGUCUGGUAUGCUCAGUAAAUGAAUGAAUAUACCCACUACACCCCAGGUUAUUUUUUUUCUGAAGACAUCGUUUGACACAGAGGGAACACUGUAGAUAAGAAGCCCAACCCUGUUAGAAAGCAGAAGGGUUUGUUUGGGAAAAGGAAACAAAAUAUAUUUUUAAGCUCCAUAAACAUAUGAUGAAUGCUAACAAGGUAUUUUCAAAAUAAGAAGCACAUAGAAACAGCUUAUGUUUCUGGUCAAAUGAAGUUGUAAUCAAAUCGUUAUCAAAGCAAAAAAAAAGAGAGGAAGAAAUCAAAAUGAGUCAGAAGAGUUUUUGGAAAGAUUCAGCAACUUAACUGACUUGAAGAGAUUUCCCUUGUCUCAGUCUUACUGCUGCUUCUAGGGGAACACAGUUUUGCACGGGAAUCGAGGCCAACUUGCAACCCACAGGCACUCUGGAGGAACAAAGAAAGUAUCGCCUGCAACUCACCACGGUCUCUCUCUCUUAAGCCCUUGCUCUUGCCAGAAGAAGUUUCACACAAAGGUUUGCCUGCGAGGCUGCGCUUUCCUCUCCAGAUCAGCAGAAACAACUUACCAGCAGAAAUACUUAAUGACGGAGCCAAGACUGGCACAGCCACGCGGUCACAGCUUUGUUCCCAAGAAGCAAGCCAAUUAGCAGCCCUGGUUAUUAUUUACAUUUCCCGCAAUAUAUCACUAAAAUUGUGUUGAUGAUUUAUCAUUUAUAUUAUGUUAUUGUCAGCAUAAUUUAUUCAGAUCAUGCUGAGAUACCUGGAAAAUUAAGUAAAAGAAAAAGAAGUGGCAUUGAAUUCAUCGGGUUUGAAAGAUAUUUCUCAGCUUCUUUUUUCUCUCCCUCUCUUUCUCUCUCUCUCUCUCUUUUAAUGAGGAUAGAUGUUAAGAAAAAUCAUGGAUCACUUAGCUAUUAAAUUGUUCCAGGAUCAUCUGCAUUAAAAGUUUGCUCAGUAUUCUUUUGUGAGAGAACAUGGCUUGGGCGUUCAUUUGGAUUUUCUUCUGGAACCUUUUCUUUCAGUCUAUUAUUUCAAAGUAAAAAAAAAAGGAAAUGCAAUCCUCUUUAGUUUAGAGCAAAGCAGAGUGGAUUAAUGAGGGGCUGGAGGCUUCUCUUCCAAUUUAUAAAACAUCCUUAUCUUCUGCCUUAUAUUCUAUUUGCCCCACCCUCUGGGAAAUAAUUGUUGCUUAUCAGAAUUAGAGAUAAAAUAUUCCAGUUGUUGAAGCCAUUCAUCAUCUAGGCAUUCUAGAAAAGCAGUUACUGAACUAGAGGCAGCAUUUUGAGCAUCAGAGCUCUGGGUUCUAGUCCCAGGUCUGUCCAGGCUUUGUGUGAUUCCAGGAGUCACUGAAGCUAUCCUGCUUCUGUUUCCCCAGCAGUGGGAUUCAUGGAUGUCCAGGAUCAGGCUUGCUGGGUCUGCCCCAGGUCUUCAGAAUCAGACUGCCUGGGGAAGGCACAUGGAGGUCUUUUUGACAGGUGUCAUAGGUGAUACUUCUACACACUUCAGUUAGAAAAGUCAUUGGGCUUACAUAUGCCUGCAGCCACUUCCAGCUCCAGUCUUCCUAGAGUUCUACGGACUCUAAUUAUAUGGCAUGUUUUGCAUAUUUCUGAAACUUCAUAUGGGAAACAAACUUUUGGAAAUUGAUUCAUUUAAGAAUCUGUGGCCAGGCGUGGUGGCUCACGACUGUAAUCCCAGCACUUUGGGAGGCUGA
rnacentral:lncRNA from 1 species